GCGGAAAUAGCUCAGGUGGUAGAGCAUUAGCUUCCCAAGCUGAGGGUCGCGGGUUCGAGUCCCGUUUUCCGCU
rnacentral:tRNA from 1 species